AAACCAACCCGUGACAUAAGACAGCGAAAUGAGGAAUAAAUCCACAUAGCUGGAUUAAUUCCAAUCGAUGUGGUCCCCACUGAAAUACUCUGCAUCGCAAUUUGAUUGUCGCCGAAGCAGCUCCCUCAUAUUUCGCAGUGGUUUCUAGCGACAAAGGAAGGUGGUGCCAGCGAAAUGGGAUGGUGCAAAACAAAUCAGAGCCGAUUUUGUUGCUGCUGCUGACUUGGAAUGAUGACAGUUAACCAAACGAUGAAUGAGUAAGAAGCGAACAGUUGUAAUUGGUGGCGCAUAUCGACAAUUGAGUAUAUGCGAGUGUGCACUGAAAUAAAUAUGGGACGAUAUUUUAUCAGAAAUUUCAUAUAAAUCAAACUCCUCGUUUGGCUCAUACAUCUCAAAUGCAUUCCGAUACUUGUUAUUCAUAUUCCAGUUCGAAAUCAACAGCGUGCAUAUAAAUAUGAAAGGCGUAAGCUCACGCUUAAGUGAUAUGCCCAUAAUAUGAGCGAUACUAGCUUCGCAUAUACAUUUCACGAACCGGCUUGUUUGUGUCUUUUAUAUGCAUGCGUGUCAUAUUGAAUGUAUCAUUUCGGCUGUUGUUAUUUAGUAGAGUGAGUUAGAAAUGAGAACAAAGUUGCGUUGCUGAACCCGGAAUUUGAAAAUGUAGCUUUUAAAGCAAUAAUGUUUAUUCUUCAGAGUAAACCUUAUCCUUUAAGUGUGGCCUAGCACAGAAUCAAUAUAAGUCUUGCUAUAUGAUUUGACUUCAUUGGAAAACUAUUGGAAGGACGAUUAAACCACAUUUUCAGCAAUCAUCUUUUUUUAGCUUUUAGGGGAUCUACAGGGUCGGAAGAAGGGAAAUCGGUACACACUCACUCAAACGUCACUCGAAGAAUCCAUCUCCAACGGGAACUGAAACUAAGAGCACAUCCACUGACGUAACUAGGGUUGGGUAAACUCACUAACAACUACUUAUGAUUGUAUGCAAGCUCAAAGGCCACACACUACUACAAAUAAUAUUCCAAUCAGAACAAGAAGGGAGGGAGGCAUGAAGAUCCCUUUGUGGACCCGGAAUGGAACAGAGAGAAAAAAUGGAACAAUAGUGAGACUUUAAACACACUGAAAUGACAUAAACGAUCAAAUUCACAUGCACAGAAUUGUAUUAAGCUAAUUUUACAAUAAUCAACGUUUUCAUUUAAGCUUAAGUCUAUAUUGUGACGUCACAUUUGCUACUUGCGGUUAGGUCUAUGUUUGGCUUGGUGUUGUUGCGUGGUCUUUCCUUGCAUACCCAGACAAUGGGUUGCUGUACUGGGUGCCUAGCUGAACAGCUAGGGUAACAUCGGCGAAUAUCGUCCUCCGGGGUUGGUGGUAAAACAACAGCCACUGAUCGUACACAGUAUAGCCGGAAAACUGCUAGAUCUUGGCUUUAGGAUGAGAGUUUGGCCGGAUAUGGUUUAGAACCGUUGAACAAUUCCGGCAAUUGGAAGAUCCAAAAUGGCGCCUUCCU